rnacentral:tRNA from 1 species
GAGGGUAUAGCUCAGUGAUAGUGCGUGUUUAGCAUGCACAAGGUCCUGGGUUCAAACCCCAGGACCUCCA